rnacentral:rRNA from 1 species
UAGAUAGUAUAACUCUUUACGAUGGAUAUCUUGGCUCUUGAAUCGAUGAAGAACGCAGCGAAAUGCGAUAAGUAAUGCGAAUUGCAGAACUCUGUGAGUCAUCAAAUCUUUGAACGCAUAUUGCACUUCCUACUUGGGAGUAUACUUGUUUGAGUGUUGUGAAAGGUAAAUAUCUAGGGUUGGGCUCUAGAUGAAGGUUGGAGUUAGCUUUGCUCUCUCUUAAAUAUAUGUAGAUUGGUGAUAUGAGGUAAAUGAGGUAAUUACCACAUUUGUCUUGUGUCAUCAUCCUAUAGCAGCAUUUGAUGCACCCACUUUCAACCUCAAAUCAAGUAAGAGGACCUGCUGAAUUGAAGCAUCUAACUAAGCAGAGGAAAAGAAAAUAACAAUGAUUCUCCUAGUAACGGCGAGUGAAUAGGGAAUAGCCCAAACUUAAUCAGUAUCUUGUAUACUGAGUUGUAGUGUGAGGAUUCUUAGAAUGGUUUGCACAUACAUCGUAUAAUUUGAUUGGAAUAUCAAGUCAGAGAAGGUGAUAACCCUGUAGCAAAAUGGUGUAUAUUGAUCUAGGAAUCUUGGAGUCGAGUUGUUUGGGAAUGCAACUCGAAGUGGGUGGUGAACUCCAUCUAAGGCUAAAUAUGUUCAAGAGACCGAUAGCGAACAAGUACCGUGAGGGAAAGAUGAAAAGAACUUUGAGAAAAGAGUGAAAUAGUACUUGAAAUCGUAAAGAGGUUAAGCGGAGUUGGUGGGUAAGAUACUAUAAUGUACUAUAUUCUAGUAGAGUAUGGCUUAUUAUNNNNNNNNNNNNNNNNNNCCCACUCAUACCCUACAUCUCCGUCCCGUCUUGAAACACGGACCAAGGAGUCUAUCCUAUAUGCAAGUUGUAUGGUGGUAAACCAUAAAGCGUAAUGAAAGUAAGAGGUGUGAAAGUUGUAAAAGUGUCAACAUCUGCCGAUCUUAAUUCUUUGAUGCAAGAUUCGAGUAUGAGCAUAUAGGGUGGGACCCGAAAGAUGGUGAACUAUGCCUGAAUAGGACGAAGCCAGGGGAAACUCUGGUGGAGGUUCGAGUGGAUUCUAACGUGCAAAUUGAUCUUUAAAUUUGGGUAUAGGGGCGAAAGACUAAUCGAACCAUCUAGUAGCUGGUUCAUUCCGAAAUUUCCCUCAGGAUAGCUGCAACUUAUGAAAUAGUUUUAUGAGGUAAAGCGAAUGAUUAGAGGCUUCUGGGAUGGAAUAUCCUGGACCUAUUCUCAAACUUUCAAUGGGUAAGAAAAGUAUGAUGUUUCAUUAAUCAUACUGUAUGAAUAUGAGUUGCAAGUGGGCCAUUCCGGGUAAGCUGGACUGGCAAUGCGGGAUCAACCGAACGCUAUGUUACGGCGCCGAAUUCUUCGCUCAGUUCGAUGGAAAAGGUGUUAGUUCAUCUAGACAGCAGGACGGUGGCCAUGGAAGUCGGAAUCCGCUAAGGAGUGUGUAACAACUCACCUGCCGAAUGAAGUAGCCCUGAAAAUGGAUGGCGCUCAAGCGAAGAGCCUAUACAUAGCCAUUAUUGUUAGGAUUGCACAAUAAUGAGUAGGAAUGCGUGAUGAAUGUGGCGAAGUAUAAUGUGUGAACAUAUAUGGAACAUUCAUUAGUGCAGAUCUUGGUGGAAGUAGCAAAUAUUCAAAUGAGAUCUUUGAAGACUGAAGUGGAGAAAGGUUCCAUAGGAAUAGUGAUUAUCUAUGGGUUAGUCGAUCCUAAGAGAUAGGUGAAAUCCGUUGAAAGGCCAGAUUGUUGGCGUCUAUCGAAAGGGAAUCAGGUUAAUAUUCCUGAACCAAAGAGAAGGGUAAACGGUAACGUGUAUAAGUCUCAAGACAUUGAUGUUAUUCCCGGGAAGAGUUAUCUUUUCUUGUUAACGGGUGUGGAGUGCUUGGAAUCGACUCAGUCGGCGAGAAGCAUUAACAUCGGGUAAAGUACUAUACAUUUGUGUAGUAUCUGGUGCAAUGACAUGAAUCCUUGAAAAUUGAGACUUUUGGUUUCCCGAAACUUUGGUCGUACUAAUAACCGCAUCAGGUCUCCAAGGUGAAUAGCCUCUAGUUAAUAGAAUAAUGUAGAUAAGGGAAGUCGGCAAAUUAGAUCCGUAACUUCGGGAUAAGGAUUGGCUCUGAGGGCUAAGUGGGUUCGAGGUGUUGGGGGCUGAAGUUAGGUGUGGAGUUGGAUGUUUUGAGUCGCCUCGGUGAUUCGAAAUGGCCGAGUCUAAUGCCUCUCAUCUCCUCCUGCAUCUACCACUAUGAAUAGCUAACUCAGAACUGGUACGGACAAGGGGAAUCCGACUGUUUAAUUAAAACAAAGCAUUGUGAUAGUGUGAAAGAUAUCUUGACACAAUGUGAAUUCUGCCCAGUGCUCUGAAUGUCAAAGUGGCGUAAUUCAACCAAGCGCGGGUAAACGGCGGGAGUAACUAUGACUCUCUUAAGGUAGCCAAAUGCCUCGUCAUCUAAUUAGUGACGCGCAUGAAUGGAUUAAUGAGAUUCCCACUGUCCCUAUCUACUAUCUAGCGAAACCACAGCCAAGGGAACGGGCUUGGAAAUAUCAGCGGGGAAAGAAGACCCUGUUGAGCUUGACUCUAGUUUAACAUUGUGAAAUGACUUUAGAGGUGUAGCAUAGGUGGGAGGUUCGCCGAUCCUGAAAUACCACUACUCUGAAUGUUGUUUUACUUAUUCCAUGGAAGAGGGUACUUGUGUAUGCAAGUGUUAAGAUGGAAACUGGUAACAGCGACCUCUUUGGGAGACAUUGUUAGGUGGGGAGUUCGGCUGGGGCGGCACAUCUGUUAAAGAAUAACACAGGUGUCCUAAGAUGAGCUCAAUAAGAACAGAAAUCUUAUGUAGAACAAAAGGGUAAAAGCUCAUUUGAUUUUGAUUUUCAGUAUGAAUACAAACUAUUAAAGUAUGGCCUAUCGAUCCUUUACAUUAAGGGAGGUCCUUGGUAGAGGUGUCAGAAAAGUUACCACAGGGAUAACUGGCUUGUGGCAGCCAAGCGUUCAUAGCGACGUUGCUUUUUGAUUCUUCGAUGUCGGCUCUUCCUAUCAUUGCGAAGCAGAAUUCGCCAAGUGUUGGAUUGUUCACCCAUUAAUAGGGAACGUGAGCUGGGUUUAGACCGUCGUGAGACAGGUUAGUUUUACCCUACUGAUGAAGUGAUUGUCGUAACAGUAAUCUAACUUAGUACGAGAGGAACCGUUAGUUCAGAUAAUUGGUAAAUCCAUUUAACUGAAAAGUUAGUGAUGGGAAGCUAUCAUCUGUGGGAUUAUGACUGAACGCCUCUAAGUCAGAAUCCUUGCUGAAUUCAUACGACGAUUCUCUGAAUAAGAGGGACAGGUUGUAUUUCACGCAAGUAUACUUUUUACGAUAGUAUUAAGGAAAGCGAGUUGUGGAGUAUUGAAUGAAAUUGAUCUGUCAUUACAAUCGUUUGUAGACGACUUAUUGUAAAGAAGGUACUGUAAGAGUAUGAGCUGGCUUGUUCCAGCGAGUCUUUGA